CAUUGAAACACCGGUUCUCAUAUGAUCAGUGAAGUUAAGCAACGUCAAGCCUGGUCAGUACCUAGAUGGGUGACCACCGGAGAAUAUGAGAUGCU